rnacentral:rRNA from 1 species
UACGUAGGAUGCAAGGCGUUGUCCGGAUUUACUGGGCGUAAAGCGCGCGCAGGCGGCAUGGCAAGUAAGGUGUGAAAUCUCCUGGCUCAACCGGGAGGGUGCACUUUAGACUGCCAAGCUUGAGGUCGGUAAGAGGGGGGUAGAAUUGCUGGUGUAGCGGUGAAAUGCGUAGAGAUCAGCAGGAAUACCCGUGGCGAAGGCGGCCCCCUGGGCCGUACCUGACGCUGAGGCGGCGAAGGCUAGGGGAGCGAACGGG